rfam:Ciona savignyi cont_45691, whole genome shotgun sequence.
CUGACCGGAUCAGCGUAGUGCUCUCCUUGGCCGAGCAGGUCCGGGGAAAUUCGUUGAAACCCCGGUCGUGCUAGGGAUAGGGAAUUGCAAUUAUUUCCCUUGAACGAGGAAUUCCCAGUAAGCGCGAGUCAUUAGCUCGCGUUGAUUACGUCCCUGCCCUUUGUACACACCGCCCGUCGCUACUACCGAUUGAAUGGUUUAGUGAGGUCCUCCGAUUGGACCCGGUCCGGGCGGCGACGUCCGAGCCGGCGUCCGAGAAGACGAUCUAACUUGAUCAUUUAGAGGAAGUAAAAGUCGUAACAAGGUUUCCGUAGGUGAACCUGCGGAAGGAUCAUUA